GACGAACGCUGGCGGCGUGCUUAACACAUGCAUGUCGAACGGAAAGGCCCUGCUUUUGUGGGGUGCUCGAGUGGCGAACGGGUGAGUAACACGUGAGUAACCUGCCCUUGACUUUGGGAUAACUUCAGGAAACUGGGGCUAAUAUCGGAUAGGAGCUCCUGCUGCAUGGUGGGGGUUGGAAAGUUUCGGCGGUUGGGGAUGGACUCGCGGCUUAUCAGCUUGUUGGUGGGGUAGUGGCUUACCAAGGCUUUGACGGGUAGCCGGCCUGAGAGGGUGACCGGCCACAUUGGGACUGAGAUACGGCCCAGACUCCUACGGGAGGCAGCAGUGGGGAAUAUUGCACAAUGGGCGGAAGCCUGAUGCAGCAACGCCGCGUGCGGGAUGACGGCCUUCGGGUUGUAAACCGCUUUCGCCUGUGACGAAGCGUGAGUGACGGUAAUGGGUAAAGAAGCACCGGCUAACUACGUG
rnacentral:rRNA from 1 species